AUGAACGCUGGCGGCGUGCCUAAUACCUGCAAGUCGAGCGAACAGAUGAGGAGCUUGCUCCCCUGACGUUCGCGGCGGACGGGUGAGUAACACGUGGAUAACCUACCUAUAAGACUGGGAUAACUUCGGGAAACCGGAGCUAAUACCGGAUAAUAUAUUGAACCGCAUGGUUCAAUAGUGAAAGACGGUUUUGCUGUCACUUAUAGAUGGAUCCGCGCCGCAUUAGCUAGUUGGUAAGGUAACGGCUUACCAAGGCAACGAUGCGUAGCCGACCUGAGAGGGUGAUCGGCCACACUGGAACUGAGACACGGUCCAGACUCCUACGGGAGGCAGCAGUAGGGAAUCUUCCGCAAUGGGCGAAAGCCUGACGGAGCAACGCCGCGUGAGUGAUGAAGGUCUUCGGAUCGUAAAACUCUGUUAUUAGGGAAGAACAAAUGUGUAAGUAACUAUGCACGUCUUGACGGUACCUAAUCAGAAAGCCACGGCUAACUACGUG
rnacentral:rRNA from 1 species